GCUCCACUUUGCUGCUCAGUCAAGGUGUGGGGCCCAGUCUCCCAAAUGCUGCAGCCAGUGAGGGGCCACAUCAGCUCUCCCGCACUCACACCCUCGGGCAGCUCACAAAUGCCCCCCUCUGCUAGGGCCAGUUCUGCAGAGCCUGCUCUCUGCCGGUGAAGGGCAGGGCCAGCCCUCCCACGGUCAUGACAGCACACCAGCUCUUCCAACAACCACAGGUAGCAAGGGGAGGGAGAAGAUGAGGAGGAGAUCACUCCUGUACUGGCUCCACCUCAUGGCAGACAAGUGGUGGGGCCAGUCCUCCUACACUCAUCCUCAGGGGUCAGCUCACCUGUGCCCCUGCCACCAGGGCCAGCUCCACUGCGGUGUCCAGGACCAUGAGGAGCAACCACAGCACUGCGCUACCCAGUCUCAAGUCUGGUUUCAUCCUAAGUGUUCCAGCCAUCUUCUAGUUCAUGCUUCGUGCUUGGGCACUUCUCCAGCCAUGUGACUCUGUGGCCUCGCCUUCCUGUUCACUUCCUUCCGGCUCUGCAGCCUGAUACAACCUGGACAGGGGUUCUUAACCUGCGGGUCACGAUCUAUUUGAGGAGGGUCGAAUGACUCUUUCACAGGGGUCGCCUAAGCCCAUCUGAAAACAUAGAUGUUUACGCUACGGUUCGUAACAGUAGCAGAUUACAGUUAUGAAGUAGCAAUGAGAAUAAUGUUAUGGUUGGGGGUCACCACGCAUGAGGACCUGUAUUAAGGGGUGCGGCAUUAGGAAGCUUGAGAAACACUGUUCUAGGCUUACGACUCAUUGUGGACCCCACCGAAGCCAUUUAAUGCGUCUCAAGAAAACUGACCAUUCAAAACCUGCAGGGCUGGCUACCGGGAGUGCAGCCCAGUGUGCAGUGCUUGGCUGGCAUAUACGCAGUGAUGGGUUCUAACUUCAGUACCAAAGGAAGUAAAUGUAGCGCAGAAACGGCAUCUUCCCACUUGGCGCCCUCAGUGGUUCCUAGUUAUUAAUAUGGCUGCCCUAACUUUUUUUUUUAAAAAAGAUGUAUUUAUUUUAUGAGUACACUGUAGCUGGCUCAGACACACCAGAAGAGGCCAUUGGGUUCCCUACAGAUGGCUGUGAGCCCCCAUGUGGUUGCUGGGAUUUGAACUCAGGACCUUUGGAAGAGCAGUCAGUUUUCUUGACCGCUGAGCCACCUCUCCAGCCCUAUCCUAACUUCUUACUUACAAGAUCCUAGAGUUGCCUUUCUCCCCCAGCGGGCCAUCUGUGUUUGGCACUUUUUGUUAUAAAUUUUAUAGAUUAAAUUUGUUGUGGUUUGGCUACUUGAA